GGACGCACCUCUGGUGCACCAGUUGUCACGCCAGUGGCACAGCUGGGCAGCUAUGUGCGGAACGGAUAAACGCUGAAAGCAUCUAAGCGUGAAGCCGCCUCCAAGAUAAGAUAUCCCAUGGCGUAAGCCAGUAAGACCCCUCAAGGACUAUGAGGUUGAUAGGCUGCAUGUGUAAGCGUAGUGAUACGUUCAGCUUGGCAGUACUAAUAGGUCGAGGGCUUGACCUU
rnacentral:rRNA from 1 species